UGUAUUCGUGGAAGGACAGGAAACAAUGAAAAAUUGGUCACAGAAAGACAAGCAAAAAUGUAGCCAAAUGAAAUGAAUUGCCGCUACAGAAAGUUAUUUUGUCGGUAAGCUACCUUUCUAAGUUCUCACGAAGCUGAGAAACAAGUACACCAGAAUUUUCAAUCUUUUUUACCAAGUCAUCAUUUCUUUUUAGGAGGUCUUCAUUUCUCCUUAUUAGAUCAUCAUUUCUUCCAUGAGCCUCAGUACGUGCACUUUUUAUACCAUUGCCUUCUUGUUUCUCCAUUACAAAGUUAGACAAUCUUGAUAUGGCAUCUACUUGAAGCCUAAUUCGUAAAGACAUUAGUCACCAAAAGGAUGAUAUAAUGAUCAGUAAUUUGAUGGCACAGUAGUUGACAAUUAGAGAAAAGUAAAUUAAGAUACCAACUUCUGCACAGUAUCUUGAAGCUGGUGGGCCCUGUAUUCGCUAUCCCUAACUUUCUUAAAUAACACCUCAUUUCUCUCCUGAGCUUCAACAAGGGACCUCCUGAUUGCUUCAUUUUCUUGUCUUUCAGCUUCCAAAGAAGCUGUCAUAUCCUCCUUAACCCUGUUUUGGGAUAAAAACAACAGUUGCAACUUCACAAUGCAGAUUAGUAAUAAUGGAAAACAUGAAGAACUAUUAGAGUUAAGCAUACAAAUGAGGAAAUGAAUAAAACCUAGGUUUUGUGUGAUGCAUGCUGCAUAUCCCUAGUUGAUGAAAAGUCUUAAUCUAUCUCAGAUACUCACAAAUGCACUUCUAUGUUUAUUUUCUGCUGUUAUCAUUCUUUCAACUUUGAUAGGCUUGCAACACUGAAAGAUAAUCUGCAUGCAUGUGGCACAUAUCUGCCAUCAAUGUCUCGCUCUCUCUGCAUAUAUAUCUUUCCAGAACAUGUGAUCUUGAUUCAUUUUAGUGUUAUGCAAAAAAGGUAGUGGGACAUAAGAGUGUAUGAUCCUGACAAUAUGUCAUACUACAUUUAGUAUAGAAAGACAUCUAGGUGCUAUAUUAACAGCAUGUGAGGAUAAAAAAGUCUGGUUUUUAGUAUGGAACCACAUGCCUUGUACCACUGAUCUUGAGACAUGGGAAGAAAUUCCAAAAAAAAAAACAAUGAAUUUUUUUUUGAAGGGGGGGGGGGGUUCACAUGCUGACAAGGGAGAACUAUAGGAGCGUACUUGUAAUAUAAUAUACAUAAAGCUUUAUUGAAGGUACAUACGAAUUUAUAGUGUUUUGAAGAUGCUCAGCUUUUUUGUUGGCUUCUUCUGCUUUCAUCAGUAACUCUUCAUUUUUGUAUUCACUCUCAGUGAGUGCUUUCUUCAGUGCAUCCUUCUCAUGUCUCUCAGAUAUCAGCAAAGUGUCUUUCGCUGUAUUAUCACCAAGCCUGAAAUUGAUCACCAGUUAUUAUGUCAAGUACAUCUACAUUUACGUAAGCACACUCACUAACUAUAUGUAAGCAUUCCCAGAGCCAAGCACAGCUUAAUAAAAACAAUAGAUGUAUAAAGUACCUUUGUAUGCUGCCUUGAAGAAGACCAAUUUUUUUGUCAACGUCCUCAAGCUUCUUUAGUAACUGCAAAAUUCUUUCUUGACUUUCAGCUUGUGCCUUCAUGGUUGCACUGUUUUGUUCUCGUUCUCUCAACAGUAAAACCUCUGUAGCAGAUGCGUUUUCCUGAAGCCUAGUCUCAGGUAGAAAUAUGGAGUUGAUUCAAAAGUUAAAACAGAUAAUCUUCUGAUAGAAUUUAUGCCCCUAGAGGUUGUUAAGCAGACAAUAAGGAACGAUUAUGGAC
rnacentral:lncRNA from 1 species